rnacentral:rRNA from 1 species
CCUACGGGAGGCUGCAGUGAGGAAUAUUGGUCAAUGGGCGGAAGCCUGAACCAGCCAAGUAGCGUGCAGGAUGACGGCCCUACGGGUUGUAAACUGCUUUUAUACGGGAAUAACGCGCCUUACGUGUAGGGCUUUGCAUGUACCGUAUGAAUAAGGACCGGCUAAUUCCGUGCCAGCAGCCGCGGUAAUACGGAAGGUCCGGGCGUUAUCCGGAUUUAUUGGGUUUAAAGGGAGCGUAGGCCGCAUGUCAAGCGUGCUGUGAAAUGUCCGGGCUCAACCCGGGCCUUGCAGCGCGAACUGGCGUGCUUGAGUCCGCGGAAAGCAGGCGGAAUUCGUCGUGUAGCGGUGAAAUGCUUAGAUAUCACACAGAACACCGAUUGCGAAGGCAUCUGACGAAUCGGAGAUUGACGCUGAUGCACGAAAGCGUGGGUAUCGAACAGGAUUAGAUACCCGGGUAGUC